rnacentral:rRNA from 1 species
UCGCUACUACCGAUUGAACAUUUUAGUGAGGUGUUCGGACUGGUGCUUAGAAGCUGGCAACAGCCUCUUUGCAUUGGGAAGUUCCCCAAACUUGGAUGUUUAGAGGAAGUAA